UUCUUGGUUGUAAAAUCUGAGGUACCUGACAUACAUGUCAGUACGAUCAUGGAGUCGAAUGAUGCGACUUUCUUUGAAGAUAUCUUUCUCAUGAAGGAUAUGGCUACCUCAUCUAAUCAAGAGAUGCCUAGUUCAUCAAAUCAGAAACCAGUUAAAAUUACCGAACAUGUCAUUUUGAUGGAACACUUUGAAAGUCUUGUGGAGGAGAAUAAUGAAGUUCCUACUAGGAGCAAGAGACAGAGGAUUGCAAAGUCCUUUGGUGAUGAUUUCCUUGUGUAUCUCAUAGAUUAUACUCCCAGUUCUAUUUCAGAGGCCUAUGCAUCUGAAGAUGCUGACUACUGA
rnacentral:rRNA from 1 species